UGGGGAAUAUUGGACAAUGGGGGCAACCCUGAUCCAGCAAUGCCGCGUGUGUGAAGAAGGUUUUCGGAUUGUAAAGCACUUUCGACGGGGACGAUGAUGACGGUACCCGUAGAAGAAGCCCCGGCUAACUUCGUGCCAGCAGCCGCGGUAAUACGAAGGGGGCUAGCGUUGCUCGGAAUGACUGGGCGUAAAGGGCGUGUAGGCGGUUUGUACAGUCAGAUGUGAAAUCCCCGGGCUUAACCUGGGAGCUGCAUUUGAUACGUGCAGACUAGAGUGUGAGAGAGGGUUGUGGAAUUCCCAGUGUAGAGGUGAAAUUCGUAGAUAUUGGGAAGAACACCGGUGGCGAAGGCGGCAACCUGGCUCAUAACUGACGCUGAGGCGCGAAAGCGUGGGGGAGCAAACAGGAUUAGAUACCCUGGUAGUCCACGCUGUAAACGGUGUGUGCUAGAUGUUGGGUAACUUAGUUAUUCAGUGUCGCAGUUAACGCGUUAAGCACACCGCCUGGGGAGUACGGCCGCAAGGUUGAAAC
rnacentral:rRNA from 1 species